rnacentral:rRNA from 1 species
AUAUGAAACUUGCUCAGAAUUUUGUGUAGAUUAAUAAUAUCCAACUUUCAUCUAUGUUUGAAAUGUUUAAAAUUUUGUUUGCAUUAAUUUGCUCCUAUGCCAUGCUAAAAUGAUUUUAUUCAUAACUAAAUAACCGUAGCUCCGAUUUAAAUAAUCUUUAUAUGUAAAUGGGGUAGAAUUUUGCCUAGUUUAACAUGGCGCACUCAUCUUGCAUGUUAAACAACUCUA